UGCACUAGUUAGUCUAUGUGAAGCACUUUAUCUCUCUGAGAUCAUUUUGAGUAAAGUUUAUAAAUGGCAUCUUGUUAAGGUCCUCAUUACUCUGGUCUGGUUAAUAUACUCCUGUGAAUCACUUACUAGCCAUCGUUAUUAACUGCCAACGUUCAAAUCCCAGUUCUGCUCUUUACCAGUUGUGUGAUUCUGGACAGGGUGUCACCAGUUUACAUUAACAAGACAGGGCGAGGAGGUGGGGUUAGAUGAGAAUGUGGAAGAAAUCACGAGCAUAACCAGAGGUGAACCAAGGAGAGAGAAAGGGUACUGAGAAAAAUCAAGCUUGUGGAGGAAAGCAAAAGUAAAGGAAGCGAAGAAAUAGGCUUAAUGACAGAGACGUAGUGUUUGCUCAAGACAUCUACAACAUGAAAAGAAUGUAAAUCCAGAACUAUCGAUACAAUUAACAUUGGAAACACAAGAGUUGGAAAAGAGAAAGUCGUCCAAGAAUAAAUUUGUAAAUUUCAAGUCCAUCAUAAACUAAUAAAAUAAG